rnacentral:rRNA from 1 species
UACGUAGGUGGCAAGCGUUGUCCGGAAUUAUUGGGCGUAAAGCGCGCGCAGGCGGUCGUUCAAGUCGAGUGUGAAAGCCCCCGGCUCAACUGGGGAGGGUCACUCGAUACUGAUCGACUCGAAGGCAGGAGAGGGUAGUGGAAUUCCCGGUGUAGUGGUGAAAUGCGUAGAUAUCGGGAGGAACACCAGUGGCGAAGGCGACUACCUGGCCUGUUCUUGACGCUGAGGCGCGAAAGCUAGGGGAGCAAACGGG